UGACCUUAUAUAUUGUGACUAUUUUCACAAGCUUUAUGAAUUCCAGUUUAUGGCAAAUGUUGGCCUUAUACAUUGAUCAUCACGCCCUGAACGAGGAGGGUUGAGAUCUGCUGGUGGUAGCGGCGCAGCUAGGUUCAUUUCAAGCGCACAACAUCGAGCUCCUUUUCGUUUAUUUUUAUUUUUUGUCCGUUUCGGCUUCGAUCGAUGUAGUCCCUGGGCCCUGCACUGACUCAGAGUCAGACCUGAGAUCAAUUAACCUGGCAGGAGCUCGAGAAGACGAGCUGUGGGGCGGCUUCUGGUGGAGAAGAAAUGGGGAGGGCGGGGAAAGAACAAGAGGGGGUGUUGGAUUUUCUCAAAUAUCAAUCAUCCGACGCACACGAACACGACGAUCACAUAAUUUGACCAGGAGUGCGUAUCGUGUCUUUUAUUUUCUCUUUAAUUUUUACUCAAUAUUCGGUAUACCACGUUACAACUUAACCGUAUGUGC
rnacentral:lncRNA from 1 species